UACGUAGGGGGCAAGCGUUGUCCGGAUUUAUUGGGCGUAAAGAGCGUGUAGGCGGCCAUGCAGGUCCGUUGUGAAAACUCGAGGCUCAACCUCGAGACGUCGAUGGAAACCGCAUGGCGUAGAGUCCGGAAGAGGAGAGUGGAAUUCCUGGGUGUAGCGGUGAAAUGCGCAGAUAUCAGGAAGAACACCCGUGGCGAAGGCGGCUCUCUGGGACGGUACUGACGCUGAGACGCGAAAGCGUGGGGAGCGAACAGG
rnacentral:rRNA from 1 species